rnacentral:rRNA from 1 species
AUGUACGUACUGCAGGAGGAGGAUGUAAAUGAUAAAUCCAUACCUACAGUUGGAAUGGCAUUUAAGUCUGAGGAUGAGGCAUAUGAUUUUUAUAACCAACAUGCUCGUAAAGUUGGCUUCAGCAUUCGAAAGAGCCACACGAAGUUGAGACGAGAUGGAACACUUUAUCAGAAACAUUUGGUUUGCAGCAAACAGGGUGAACGAGAAACUCAUUCAUCGCAUGACACCAAGAAAGAAAAUGCCACAACAAGGUGUGAUUGUGAUGCCCGUGUUCAGCUCAGUAUUUCUCGUGAUGGCGUUUGGAAUGUGCAAAAGGUUAUUCUUGAGCACAACCAUGAUUUGGCAAGUCUAGAUAAGAGGCACAUGUUGAGGUCGCAACGUCGUAUUGCGGCGUCUGAUAAACUUAUGAUUGGUGAGAUGCGUGAAGCCGGAAUAAAGCCAGCCGAAGUGUACGGUUUUUUCAAGCAGUGGUAUAAAGGACCCCAUAAUGUACCUUUCUUGCGGAUGGAUUCCAAUAACCACAUUGGUCGUGAGCGCAGGAAGUAUCUGGAAGUUAAUGAUGCACAAACAUUGCUGGAAUUCCUAAAGAACAAGCAGUUAAAUGAUCCUUCUUUUUUUUAUGCUAUACAAUUAUAUGAAGAGGAUUGCCGGAUAGCUAAUUUCUUUUGGGCAGAUGGUGAAGCUAUCAUGGACUAUGAUUGCUUUGGUGAUGUUUUGUCCUUUGACACAACAUUUCAGACAAACAAGUUUGAAAUGCCUUUUGCACCACUACUUGGAACAAAUCAUCAUAAGCAGACCAUUCUUUUUGGAGCUGCGUUGCUAUGUGAUGAAACCACAGAUUCAUUUAUCUGGCUCUUCAACACAUUCUUAACCGCCAUGUCUGGCAAGGCACCCGCAACAAUAUUCACCGAUUGUGCUGCCAUGGCGAAAGCAAUCAGGAUUGUUCUCCCAAAUACAAAGCACCGUCUCUGUUUGUGGCACAUUUAUCAAAAUGCUCCUAAGCAUCUUAGCCAUGUAAUUUCAGACCAUCCUAAGUUCCUUGCUGAUUUUAAGAGAUGUGUCUAUGAGGAAAGGUCAGUGGCAUACUUUGAAAUGAAGUGGCAAGAAUUGUUGACUGCUUACAACCUUCAGGAUAACACAUGGUUACAACAACUAUAUGAUCUGCGUGAGAAGUGGGCUACUGUCUACCGCCGUGAUUCCUUUUGCGCCAACAUGACUUCAACUCAAAGGAGCGAAGGUAUGAACAAUGUGUUUAAGAAAAGAUUUCGUAAGAGACUUUGCCUUUCAGAACUCCUAGUAGAAUAUGAUAAGUGUGCCGCUAGCCUUCGGGAAAAUGAACUCGACGAGGACUAUAGAUCACGUCAGUCUAAACCGGUCACCUGCAUUAGAAACUUACCUAUGUUGAAGACUGCUGCCGAAUCGUAUACAAGAAGCCUUUAUUCUGAAUUUGAGGAGUAG